rnacentral:rRNA from 1 species
CACGUAGGGCGCAAGCGUUGUCCGGAAUUAUUGGGCGUAAAGAGCUCGUAGGCGGUCUGUUGCGUCCGCUGUGAAAACUCGGGGCUUAACCCCGAGCCUGCAGUGGAUACGGGCAGACUAGAGGUAGGUAGGGGAGAAUGGAAUUCCCGGUGUAGCGGUGAAAUGCGCAGAUAUCGGGAGGAACACCGGUGGCGAAAGCGGCGCGCUGGAUCUCUUCUGACGCUGAGGCGCGAAAGCCAGGGGAGCAAACGGG